GUUAAGAGCAGGAAAUGAUCGCUGAGGGUGUGAGAUGUCACUUGAGUUCUGUCAGGGCUGACACUUCUCUUCUCCUCCUCUGCGAAAGUCCGCUGUUGUCGCUCACACGAGUCACGUCACAAUGCUCGUCUGGCGCGCCGUCUUUCUUUCUCUUCUUCUCGGCAGGGCUCUGGCUCUGACGAUGACUCAAGACAAGCUCUCUAUGACCAAAGGACCCGGCAAGACCGUUCGAAUAGGCUGCAAGUCGGAUGGCAGCCCCAGCUACAUUCACUGGUAUCGACAGAAAGGCAGCGGAGCUUUGGAGCGAAUUCUCUACACACAAACGAGCACAGGAAUCGAGAGCUACGACAUCGGGGACAGCGAAAGGUUCAAAGCUGACGACAAAGGCUUAACUCUGCGUAUAGACAGAGCUGUGGUGGGCGACACGGCGACGUAUUACUGUGCCGCAUGGGACAGCCACAGUGACGGAGACCGUGGGGACCCCCGCGCAAAAACCUCCGCCCGAUUAAACAAAGCUGCCGCUAAACCGAAUGGCCUUGUCCGCCUCAUAACGGACACACCCGAGUCAAUGAACGCCGCUCUUCUGCAACGAUUGGCGGCCUUGGGGCUGACGGGGAUCCUUUGGUGAGCCGUGAACAGCAGUUAAUGGUGUGCUUUAUGCGCAUG